rfam:Oryza glumipatula chromosome 7, whole genome shotgun sequence.
AAUAAGUGUAGCCAUGAGUUUUCGUGUUCAACUUUGAUCAUCCGUCUUAUUUGAAACUUUUUUAUGAUUAAUAUUUUUAUUGUUAUAAGAUUAUAAAAUAUGAACGAUACUUUAUGCGUGACUUAUGUUUUUUAGUUUUUUUCAAAAAAAAAUUUAAAUAAGAUGGACAAUCAAAGUUGUACACGGAAACUUAUGCUUGCGCUUAUU